UACGUAGGGGGCAAGCGUUGUCCGGAUUUAUUGGGCGUAAAGAGCUCGUAGGCGGUGUGUCGCGUCGGCCGUGAAAACCUGCAGCUUAACUGUGGGCGUGCGGUCGAUACGGGCAUCACUGGAGUUCGGCAGGGGAGACUGGAAUUCCUGGUGUAGCGGUGAAAUGCGCAGAUAUCAGGAGGAACACCGGUGGCGAAGGCGGUUCUCUGGGCAUUACCUGACGCUGAGGAGCGAAAGUGUGGGGAGCGAACAGG
rnacentral:rRNA from 1 species